UACGAAGGGUGCAAGCGUUAAUCGGAAUUACUGGGCGUAAAGCGCGCGUAGGUGGUUCAGCAAGUUGGAUGUGAAAGCCCUGGGCUCAACCUGGGAACUGCAUCCAAAACUACUGAGCUAGAGUACGGUAGAGGGUAGUGGAAUUUCCUGUGUAGCGGUGAAAUGCGUAGAUAUUGGGAGGAACACCGGUGGCGAAAGCGGCUCUCUGGUCCGAAACUGACACUGAGAUGCGAAAGCCAGGGGAGCAAACGGG
rnacentral:rRNA from 1 species